CGAACGCCCUAGGGGAGUGGAAACUGAGAGUUCCGCCGACACGGUAUGUCGCGGAAGACCCUUGGAACCUGAUCCGGUUUGCACCGGCGGAGGGAAGCGGCGUCGGCAACAG
rnacentral:ncRNA from 1 species